AUCCGAUGGGCUCGGGAGCCGGACGGCCUGGCCUGGGUUUGCACCAGGGUCUGAGGCUUGUCUCCUCGCGGGCAGGACGGAGAGCGCACGGGUUACGGGUGCCAACAUUUUAGAGCUUGUGCCGCGUGCCAGGAGCCUCACAACGACCCUGUCCGAAGAGAUUGAGGCUGCCCCAAAGCCAGAGGAGCCCCGGCCGCCGGCCUCCGCGGAGCGCCGCGGGAACUUCCACCGACUCUCCCUUCAGGCGCCGCCGCCCGCACGCUCCGAUCCGCGAUACCAUGGAAACCGCCUCCCAGCACCCCCCGCGGCAGCCGAGCCAGCCUAAGCGCAGGCACCAGGCGGCCGGAGCCGGCCCGAGCAGACCCGAGCUCGCCCUCCGACCCCGGCACGAAGACGAGGGCGGGCGGAGGCAGGGCCUUUUUCUCCCCUGCACAAUCUAGACGCCGUCCUCCCCCAGCCAAGACCGCAUUCUCCGGUACCUGUUGUUACUUCCUGCUUCCCGACGGCACUCUUUGGAGCUUCACUCACACGUUGAUGACAUGAGUAAGGAACUUCUCUGCUGAGUCGAAUAAUAGUGUCAAGUACUGGAAGAGUUAUUUCCUCAACUUGUGCUAUUCAUGAGAAAACGAAGAGGAAAAUAUUUAACAAGGCUAAAUAAAGAAAGGAAAUAAACUAAUUCAAAUGUAAUGAAACCGGG